rnacentral:rRNA from 7 species
CAAAUCAGGUAGGACUACCCGCUGAACUUAAGCAUAUCAAU